AGAGUUUGAUCCUGGCUCAGAAUCAACGCUGGCGGCGCGCUUAACACAUGCAAGUCGAGCGAGAAAGGGAGCAAUCCUGAGUAAAGCGGCGCACGGGUGAGUAACACGUGGGUAUGUACCUGUUAGUGGGGAAUAACCCUGGGAAACCGGGGCUAAUACCGCAUAAGUCCGAGAGGAGAAAGCCGAAAGGCGCUGACAGAGCAGCCCGCGGUCGAUUAGUUAGUUGGUGAGGUAAUGGCUCACCAAGGCGACGAUCGAUAGCCGGCCUGAGAGGGCACACGGCCACACUGGCACUGAAACACGGGCCAGACUCCUACGGGAGGCAGCAGUGGGGAAUCUUGCACAAUGGAGGAAACUCUGAUGCAGCGACGCCGCGUGAACGAUGAAGCCCUUCGGGGUGUAAAGUUCUUUCGACAGGGACGAUAAUGACGGUACCUGAAGAAGAAGCUGCGGCUAACUACGUGCCAGCAGCCGCGGUAAUACGUAGGCAGCGAGCGUUGUUCGGAAUUACUGGGCGUAAAGCGUGCGCAGGCGGUUUAUUAAGACAGAUGUGAAAUCCCCGGGCUUAACCUGGGAACUGCAUUUGUGACUGGUAGGCUAGAGUGUAGCAGAGGGGGGUAGAAUUCCACGUGUAGCAGUGAAAUGCGUAGAUAUGUGGAGGAAUACCGAUGGCGAAGGCAGCCCCCUGGGUUAACACUGACGCUCAUGCACGAAAGCGUGGGGAGCAAACAGGAUUAGAUACCCUGGUAG
rnacentral:rRNA from 1 species